rnacentral:rRNA from 1 species
ACUCAAAGGAAUUGACGGGGGCCCGCACAAGCAGCGGAGCGUGUGGUUUAAUUCGAGGUUACACGAAGCACCUUACCUGGGUUUGACAUCCGGCUAGUAGGGACGCGAAAGCGAACCGACCGCAAGGAGGCCGGACAGGUGCUGCAUGGCUGUCGUCAGCUCGUGCCGUGAGGUGUUAGGUUAAGUCCUGUAACGAGCGCAACCCCCAGGUCUAGUUACACGUUGUCUAGACCGACUGCCCGUGACAAGCGGGAGGAAGGUGGGGACGACGUCAAGUCAGCAUGGCCUUUAUAUCCAGGGCUACACACACGCUACAAUGGCCGGUACAAUGGGUCGCCAAGCCGCAAGGCGGAGCCAAUCCAUAAAAAGCCGGUCUCAGUUCGGAUUGUGGGCUGCAACCCGCCCGCAUGAAGUCGGAGUUGCUAGUAACCGCCGGUCAGCUAUACGGCGGUGAAUACGUUCCCGGGCCUUGCACACACCGCCCGU